AUGGGGUCGCCUGAUGCUGCGCCCAUAGCGACCAGCCUGCCUGCCCUUGAGAUCAACGAGCCAAUCAGCGGGGAGGAUGCUGAUCCCCCCUCAUCAGGGUCCACCCCAGCCACGGAGGGCCAAUCAGCGCCUGCACCAACCACCACGCCAUGCACCACCCUCGCCCUACAGAUCAACGUGCAGCCCGAUCGGACAGCUGACUCCACCCUGGAGCGUUUCGUCUCCUCCGUCCGGCGCGCCCCAGCACCCCUACUGCCCCUCCCACCACCACCGCGCCGGCGCCGGAAUGAGGUGCCCCUCGACUUCACGCCACGGUGGAGCAACUGCACCGCCAGGGCGGACCGGGGCCAAGACUCCAAAAUGAAGGCCAAGCGUGUGCUCCUCCACCGCCUCGGGCUGUUACAGGACGACGAGCCGCUCUCGGACUCCAUCCUAGACCGCUAUGCUCGCAUGUUCGAUCGCCCGUGCGCGGCUGACACCAUCGCCGCGCUCGCCGACUACCAUGGUUGGAAGGUGCCUGCGGAUCCAGCCAGGGUGGCGACCCCCACGGCCCUGCUCAUCACCGAGGCAUAG
rnacentral:rRNA from 1 species